rfam:Xenopus tropicalis strain Nigerian Chr04_contig_1271, whole genome shotgun sequence.
GUCAGGAUGGCCGAGCGGUCUAAGGCGCCAGACUCAAGACAUUGAGUGUCUUCUCCUGUACUGGGGAUUCUGGUCUCCGAAUGGAGGCGUGGGUUCAAAUCCCACUUCUGACA